AAGAACAGUAGUAUAGCUAUGGUGAAAAUGUGCAUUUUGCUUGCUAUUCAAAAAGUACCUUAUUGAAUUAAAUUUAUAAAUGAAAGAAACACUACAACAUCUAUCAGGUGGAUUCCCCAUAAAUCUUAAAUUGGCACAUAUACAAACAUAUAUUCCAAGUUAGAUGGAAUUAUAAUGAGAGCAGAGAAAGAUUUAGUAAGGUUAGAGAGUCAUAGAGAGUGGAAACAGUGCUGAAUGAGGAUGAUAACUGAGUGUUGUGCUGCAGGGUACCACACUGCUAAGACUUCAGUUUGAGCACAUUUCAGAGAGAACAAGAACAAAAGCACACAGUAAUUUAUGCAGUUGCUACAGUUACUACAUAAGUACUCACUCGUUCAAAUAACGAAGAAAAAACCCAAAUUGGUGUUCUAGUAGAAUAAAAGAUGAGUAAACACUUGUUGAAGAAAGGAUGCCUGACUAAGAAGUCCAAGCAUGAGCCAUAUGCAUACCUUCUCCAAGAGACCUCGGAAUACUGAUUAAAGGGAUCCCAAAGCAGGAAAUAGUUUGAAGAACUUCAGAAGUUUGGACCUCCUAACAGGUUACAGGAUAUUUUGUUGUAUUUGCGCUUUUCAAGGAAGAUUUGGAGCAUGUAGUUGGCAGCUGCUGGACUCUGUUCCAAGUUCUGCAAUAAAAAUAGUGGAACCCAGUGAGAUCUUUAGCUGACUGCUUUGUCUUUAGAUGCCCACUUUAUGGUUACUUUAAUACUUUCAGAACAUAAUUCAUUAGAUUAAUUGACCAAGCAUUCAAUGAAGUUGUCCACAUAGGGACAUACAGUACUGUAUGAGAUGCCAGAGGAUGUCAAAGACAUAAAGACAGAGGUAAUACAGAAAUUCAUAGGACUAUUGUACCUUGUACCCUGAUGGAGCAGCAGCUGGAAGCAAGGCAAGAUACUCCAAGGCAUGGCAGGUGGUGCUGGACACCUCUGUACAACCAAAUUAAUUGAGUCCUACAUCUCUGUUGGUUAUGAGGGAAGCCUGGACACACGGAUCACAUGGAGGCACUGAGAGUGAGUACGUAAGUGUACGUCUGCAAUGAGAACGCAAAUCCUGCUGCAGACUUUUAAAUUGGCAACCAUGCCAUUCUGAAAACUUCAUGGCACUUGCCUUCUUUUUCAAAAGUCCCAAAGAUCUGCAACUCUAGGUGUCUAAGCAGCUGAAAAAUAUCCAGAUUCUGAGUCAAAAGUAUAAAAAAGUAUAACAAAGUAUCUGGAAAUACAAGGAAGAUUAAGGCAAUCAUUCCCAUGAAGUGGAGAAUGCUCAGAGAGAGACUGUCAAAAGGAGCCAUGGCCUUUUCAGGACAGCAUCUUUUUCUCUAGAAAUACAAAAAAAUUUCUUUGCAAUUACUUGAUAAAAAUUUCUGAUCUCUCUGCUAUACAACUGGCAUUUCCUUAUUUCUCUGUUCACUUCAGUAGGAGCUGCAGGGCUUCCAGAGGUAUUGAAAAUAAGGCAAUGGAUGUAAAUUCUAAAUAUGGAUUUAGUAAUCUAAUUUAGAGAUCAUAAACAAUACUAAGUCUUUCUACAGGUGUUAGUUACUCUUUAUGCAUGCCCGUUCUGCCAUAGUAUGCCCAUAGUAUAUGGGCUAAGUCUAUUGUAUUAUACAAUUAAUAAUAAAAUAAGCCAUCUUGUUCAUUAGUCAGGUAAAGAAUUUAUUGUUUGAGCACUUAAAAUCUCUUUUAUUGUGAACACUAAGAGUUC